CCCUUAGAUGUUCUGGGCCGCACGCGCGCUACACUGACACGUUCAUCAAGUCUAUAACCUUGACCGAGAGGUCUGGGUAAUCUUUUAAAAACGUGUCGUGCUGGGGAUAGAUUAUUGCAAUUAUUAAUCUUGAACGAGGAAUUCCUAGUAAACGUAGAUCAUCAAUCUGCAUUGAUUACGUCCCUGCCCUUUGUACACACCGCCCGUCGCACCUACCGAUUGAAUGGUCCGGUGAAGCCUCGAGAUUGUGGCCAGCUCGCUUUAUUGGGAGUUGGUUGCGAGAACUUGUCUAAACCUUAUCAUUUAGAGGAAGGUGAAGUCGUAACA
rnacentral:rRNA from 1 species